UUCGGCGCAUGCGCGGGGCGGUGCCGCCCGGCAGCGGAAGCGAGGGCGCCGCUGGGUUCCGGGUCGCGGCGGCGCAGCGAGGGCAGCGGGGCCGCGCCGCCGCCUCCAGGUGACCGGGCCGGGCCCGGGGGCCGCCGCCGCCGCUGCGGCGGGACCUCUGCGCCCCGGGAGCGGCAUGAGGCGGGGCGGCGCCGCCGGCAGCCCGCCCUGACCCGCCCCGACCGCGAGCGGCCGGCCCCGACAUGGCGGCGCAGUCGACGAUCCCCAUUUGGCAGAACAAACCCCACGGCUCAUCGCGCAGCGUCGUCAGGAGGAUCGGGUCAACCCUUCCUCUCAAACCCUGCCCCAGAGCAACCUUUGAGGUUCUGCCAAACGUUUCAGAGCUCUAUUUAAAUGACAUCCCUCCGGUCCCUACUUUGGCCGACAUUGUGUGGAUAGCAGCAGAUGAUGAAGAAACAUAUGCCAGAGUCAGGAGCGACACUCGCCCGCUGAAGCACAAGUGGAAGCCCAGUCCCUUCACUGUCAUACAGCGAAAUGCUUCAGUCCCCAACCUGAGGAAGCAGGAGGAGAAGCUGCUCGCCUUGAAGAAACCUGGUUUACCAGCACUGAGCCGAACAACCGAGCUCCAGGAUGAGUUGAGUCACCUUCGGAGUCAGAUAGCUAAAAUAGUGGCUGCAGAGUCAGCUUCUGCUUCAUUAACACCAGAUUUAUUAUCUCCAGGAAGUUCAAAUGCAUCUUCUCCUUUACCUUGUUUUGGACCCUCUUUCCACUCUACAACUUCCUUUGUCAUUAGUGAUAUCACAGAGGAGGAGGCAGAAUUAGAAACCCCAGAGCUCCCAUCAGUUUCCAUGCUUUGUUCUGCAACCUCUGAAUGUUGUAAACCAGAACCAAAGGAUCCUGACGAGGAAGAUUCUGUGUCUCUUUCGAAGGCCAGCAGUUUUGCGGACAUGAUGGGCAUUCUUAAAGACAUUCAUAGGAUGAAGCAGAACAAAGACUUGACUUGGUGCUUAAUCACAACCUUGGAAGCUUCAUGAAUGAGUAUGAGAAACACUUGCAGAAAUGUGUAUGUUUCAACAAAUGUCACAUAGAGCCCUUUAAAAUGUCUGUGAUGCCCUCUGGAAGGGGAUUGUCUGAGUAGUGUGUCUGCCGAGCCGUGCAUUCAGUGUGUGGUUAAAAACAGGUAGCAGGAGGAGCUGCUUGCAAUAAACCGAACGUCAAUGAAGGAGGAAGACCCUGCUAUUCUUAUAGCGGAAGUUUUGAGAAGAAAAUUUGCCCUAAAGGAUGAAGAUCUAACCAUGAAAGAGAAGUGAUGUUACUAUCAUUAAACUCUGUAAGCAAGUGUUAUGCUCCCAAAAUUUUCUCCACAGUAGCUGCCUUCCUAAGGAUUGAACUUUUUUGCCUCUUUUAUUAAUUAGAAAUUGUUUAUGCACUGGACACUUACUUAGGAAAGACCCUAUGGAUUUGAAGUGUUUUCAAUGUAUUGUAAUAUUUAAGAAAAAAAAUUUUUAAGAAGAUGGAAAUUCUUUUCCACUUGUAUUUAGGUCUUGAUUUUUGGUAAGGAUCUUCUAAGGAAUGCAAUGGGUGCUGCUGGAUGAAGUUCUUUCUACCUACAGUUUUCCUUAGGUUCACAGUAAGCAUUCAAGUUAACUUAUAACUGUCUUGUUGCAAUAUAACUUAUUACCCAUUACAGUAUGAAUGGAUGUCAAACAUCCAGUUCUUCCUCUAUUGUGAGUCUGGUACGGAGCUACUGAGAAUAAACUGUUUCAUGCUUCCAGGUCUUCAGUGUUUAGGAAGUUGUUGAAUGAAGGAGGUUAAAGUUUUCUUUCCAAUUACCUUGUCUAAGCUGAUGAUUAGAUGAAAUCGAAGUAAAUAAUCAAACCAUUCAGCCGUGCCUAACGGGUGCUGGCUGGUUUUAAUACGCCCUUGCUGUUUCUUAAUUCACAAAUCAUCCCUAUAGUUGCAUGACAGGAUGGCCUUAAUUUCUGGCCCAUAAUUUCAUGUUUCAUUAGUAGUCCUUGUAUUCAGAUGAAAUGUAUUUUAUUUAGUGUUCCAAAAGGUCCGUAUAUUGAACCACCAAUGCUAGGAGCUGAGCACCACGAAAACUGUCAUCUAAACAGAGAGAAGACAGAAAUUUGUAUUGUUUAUGGCUACAGUUCUCACUAAUUGAAGAUGUUUCUUUCAGCUAUGCUCACUCUCUGCAAUGUUCCUCAUGGCUGUAUUUAAAGUAUGAUUUUUUUUUCAUUUAUAUAAAAUUGAGCCUUAAUAAGACAA